GGUAGAGGCAGAGGGGAGAGGGGGAGGUAGAGGCAGAGGGGAGAGGGGGAGGUAGAGGCAGAGGGGAGAGGGGGAGGUAGAGGCAGAGGGGAGAGGGGGAGGUAGAGGCAGAGGGGAGAGGGGGAGGUAGAGGCAGAGGGGAGAGGGGGAGGUAGAGGCAGAGGGGAGAGGGGGAGGUAGAGGCGGAGAGGGAGAGUCAAAUAUAUAUAUCAAACAGCAACCCCUUGAACCAAUUUAACAUUAAGCAGUGUGCCACUGCAAAGUCACAUGUCUUCCAUUUUCUAUAAUGGUGCUGGUCCUUUUCAUACAAACAAUAAUGCACCAUUGGUCAUGUGUAGGGAGAUGGAAUUACUACAAUCAUAAUAGUGUUAUGUCACACAUAUCCAUUCAGAUCUGCAGUAGUUGUUUAGGCACAGUACAUAGCGAUUGUGCAUACAAACACAGACAGUGAAAUUUAGAUUUUACACUUAACAUGCCACCAUGCUAACAUCAUCUACUUCAAGUGUCGCAAACAAAUUUUAAAUAGUGACACAUUCUCUCGUGAAUCUACAUCAUCACAAUAUUUCCAUAUGAAAUGAAUGACAUGCCACUUAUCACACAGUAUAAAAUACCAAUAUUUUCUCAUUCACUGUAUCGUGUCAAAUAGUUUAUGUAAGUUAUCAUAUAAAAGUCUGGUUUUCACAAUUUCAAUCUCAAUACAAAAUCCUCCUCUUCAGAGUUGGUCAGGUACCUUCAGCUCCUCAUAUCAUUGUUAAAAAUCAUCGAACUAAUUUACUGCCAGGAAAUGACAAUAUAACUGCAAUUUAUGUUCAAACUGCUAAACUGCUUUGUACCUUUAACAAGGCAAAUAAUUCUACGGUCACAUCAUUAUGCGCACAUAUGCGCGCGCCCACACACACACACACACACACACACACACACACACACACACACACACACACACACACACACACACACACAGCAUAUUACUGACCACUAGUGUCCAGAACUUCCAUCUUACUACAUCAAAUGUCUUUGUUCAUCACACUUAUUUCCACUUUUUUAAAGACAUACCUUCACAUAACUCACAUUCAUAUAGAACACAAAAUUUCAGAAAUAUUUUAUACAACAAUGGACAUAAGUAUGCAAUACAUUUCAAUGAAUUUAUUUUUAAACUGUAUAAAUAUUUAGUUAUAACUAAUUUAGCCAGCACAACUUCUGAAAACCGUUUCCUUCAGUAAACAAUUGAGUAGCAUAGAUCAGAAAACACAGAGAAAAAGUACCUGCAGUUCAGAAAUAAUGGCCAGUUACAUAACAAUUUUGAGAUGUGGACUUAGUAUUUGCUUGUCAUCAUCAAUUUUUUUUUUCCUUCCGUUUUUCUUUUCUUGUAGCAUUCAUAGAGAUUGGCCAAUUUUCCAUCUGUUAAAGAGCAACAUUUUUUCUAUCAUUUCAUAUGAAACUGUCUUUCUUGUUAUAAACUCUUCACUGAGACUUACUGCUAUCACAUUGCUUCAUCUCUGUGACAACAUCUGGUACUUUCAAUUUAUAUGAAACAUGUGAAGAAAGGAAUACUGUAACUAUAAAAUGAAUUUUAUUCUGUACUUUCUCUUUUCUGUAACUUGCACUUCAUUACUUCAUCCUUUUAAACAUCUACAGAAUUUAUAAUCAAGUUCAAUAAAUGAACACAUUCCCCGAGAUGUUUUCUUAGAAAUUUCUCAUUAACACUGUUUGAAUAACUGAACUUUCACAAACACAUAAUUUUGUAAAAUUCUCCUCUUAUCUACAUUCAGUUUCCCAUUUUGUUCUUAGCUGUAAUAAUUAAUGACUUUCUUAUCACACAGCUCUCUGCACACAGCAUAACUCAGUAGUACAUAGCAAGAGGAAUAUAAAUACAGACAGAAAAAUGCCAUAUCAGCUAACACUUCAUUUUUGAGAACUGAUAUAAAACCAAACAACACAAAAAAGAAGUGUUCUCAAAUACAACAGAACAAUGUAUCAUUUUUCCAUUACAUAAAGAUAAGAAGACAGAUGGCCUCAGUCAAAACACUAACUACUUGCCCAGAGCUACACAACAAUUACACCAGUCUUUCUGACUCAAAAAUAAUGUCAACUACCACAGAGAUUUUCCUGCACACAGAAAAAAUAGUUAUGUAGCAAAACACAUCACAACAGCAACAUUAACAACAACUGAAAUGCCAGCACGACAUGAAGGAACUUUCUUAUGGAUGAAACCUCAACUGUUUUGGCAAACAUGGACAGAAUUCCUUAUAAGGUAGGUACUAAUGAAUCAAAUCUGACACUGAUCAUGCAACAUUCACUCAAAUGAAAAGGAUCAUCGUUCUGAGCAACACGACUAUACCACCAACAAAGCAUUUCUACACAUCAAACCUUAAUGGCUACUAUGCUUCAGAAAAUUUCAUAACAAAAUCCUCAGAAGAAUCUGCAAGAAAACAGUGUAAAAGAUACGGUACGCGUCCAUGUGUGCGCCCCCCCCCCCCCCCAC